UACGUAGGGGGCAAGCGUUGUCCGGAAUCAUUGGGCGUAAAGAGCGCGUAGGCGGCCCAGUAAGUCCGCUCUGAAAGUCAGGGGCUCAACCCCUGGAUGCGGGUGGAUACUGCUGGGCUAGAGUCCGGAAGAGGCGAGUGGAAUUCCUGGUGUAGCGGUGAAAUGCGCAGAUAUCAGGAGGAACACCGAUGGCGAAGGCAGCUCGCUGGGACGGUACUGACGCUGAGGCGGCGAAAGCCAGGGGAGCAAACGGGG
rnacentral:rRNA from 1 species